UUUGUCUCACGUCCCGUUAGAUUACAUGGAGUGGGCGGGGUUUAUGACCUAUACUGCAUCCAGCCACCUGGGGGCGAUUUGACUUCACUUUUCAGGACUUGUGCAGCACACAGCCGCUGCUGAAGUCGAACAAACCUACUAACGUCCCUGUUUGUCAGACAGAGAUGCAGGGAUGUGCUGCGUGACCUGAGCCACUGCCCAGUUUCCCUCUCAGGCUGAGGUACCCCUCUGGCAUGCAGAACAGCACUGUGUGAAUGGACAGGAAAGGAGAGGAUUUCCCAUCUUUGUUAAAAUCAUUCUGUAAUCACUCCAUUAAAGAUCCGCUCUGUGGUCUCCACCCCUCUCUCGACUAGAGCGAUUUAGUUUUGCAUUACAAUCCACAUUGCUGUCAGUGCUUGAUCCGCUGAAGUAGUAAUUUGGUAGUUUGUUUUUGUAUUGCUGGUGUUUUGUUUUUGCUCCCGGUUUUCUAAUAGUGCUUACAGUUGUACGAAAUAGCGGCGUUCUUGGAAGUCUAAGCCAACUAAUGGAGUUGAUCUGAUCUAAUAUAAAUAACACCAAAUUCGCUGUUCUUGGUAGAGUUUGUAGACAGUGCCUUCACACGUAAAAGGAGAGAGAGAGAGAGAGAGAGAGAGAGAGAGACAGGCUAGGGCGUUAGCUGUAUUAUUAUUAUUAUUAUUGGGCUGAGCCCAGAUUCUUAUCUAAAAUAACAAGUUAUUUUUGGUACAGAGCACGUUUAUCUGUUUUAAUAGCUGUGCAUGUUUUAGCAGAACCACAGUGGGUAUCAGUGACACAGUUCUUCAGAAGUGAGAAAGCUCUAAACCACAUUCAGAGAAUACUCUAUACACGAGAAGGAAUUUGUAUUGAUGCACCUUUUUGCCUUUACAGCUGCCCACAGCAAACAUUUAUAGAUUAAGACACAGACCUCAGACACACAGUGAGUCAGGAAGUGUUUUUGGUGUCUCAGCCUUCAUCUACUGUUGAUACAACAAUGCAAGACUGUCAUGGAUACCAUGUUUCCAUCUCUGGAGCUCUGAUGUUGGUGAUUCUUCAAGGUGUGCUUGUUGUUUUAGCUGAUACAAACACAAUGAUGGUGUACAGAGCUACUGGGUGCUCCCUGGAUCUAACAUUGAACUAUUCAAAACAAUCAGUGUCAUCAGUUAGGUGGAAGUUCAAUGAGAAACAGUUUGCUGGGUAUUCUCAGAGCCAGUACUCACACCAGAAUUCCCAGUUCACUGGACGGUUAAAGGAGAAUAAUGAUAAAGUUGGAAUAACUGUACAAGAUCUUCAACCCCAAGACUCUGGGACAUUCUCAGUAGUUGUAGAUGGAACUGAAAGACAGUAUCCAACACAGAUAUUUACAGUUUAUAUUCAAAACCCCAUAACAGCUGUGCAGAUUGAGAAGAAUCAGACGUGGAGAUUGUCCACAAACAGCUGUGAUGUUGAUGUGAAGUGUGCAGCGCUCGGGGCUGAGAGUGUCUCCUACCUGUGGAGGGGCUAUAAGACUGGGAGUGGAGCUCAGCUGCAGUUCAGUCUCUCA